rnacentral:tRNA from 1 species
GCCGCUAUGGUGAAAUUGGUAGACACGCUGCUCUUAGGAAGCAGUGCUAGAGAGCAUCUCGGUUCGAGUCCGAGUAGCGGCA